AUACUUACCUGGCAGGGGAGACACCAUGAUCACGAAGGUGGUUUUCCCAGGGCGAGGCUUAUCUAUUGCACUCCGGAUGUGCUGACCCCUGCGAUUUCCCCAAAUGUGGGAAACUCGACUGCGUAAUUUGUGGUAGUGGGGGACUGCGUUCGCGCUUUCCCCUG
rnacentral:snRNA from 1 species